GAUGAACGCUGGCGGCGUGCCUAAUACAUGCAAGUCGAGCGAACGGACGAGAAGCUUGCUUUUCUGAUGUUAGCGGCGGACGGGUGAGUAACACGUGGAUAACCUACCUAUAAGACUGGGAUAACUUCGGGAAACCGGAGCUAAUACCGGAUAAUAUUUUGAACCGCAUGGUUCAAAAGUGAAAGACGGUCUUGCUGUCACUUAUAGAUGGAUCCGCGCUGCAUUAGCUAGUUGGUAAGGUAACGGCUUACCAAGGCAACGAUGCAUAGCCGACCGGAGAGGGUGAUCGGCCACACUGGAACUGAGACACGGUCCAGACUCCUACGGGAGGCAGCAGUAGGGAAUCUUCCGCAAUGGGCGAAAGCCUGACGGAGCAACGCCGCGUGAGUGAUGAAGGUCUUCGGAUCGUAAAACUCUGUUAUUAGGGAAGAACAGAUGUGUAAGUAACUGUGCACAUCUUGACGGUACCUAAUCAGAAAGCCACGGCUAACUACGUG
rnacentral:rRNA from 1 species